rnacentral:tRNA from 1 species
CGGGAAAUAGCUCAGCUUGGUAGAGCGUUGCGUUCGGGACGCAAAGGUCGCAAGUUCGAAUCUUGUUUUCCCGA